AUAGAAUAAUGUAGGUAAGGGAAGUCGGCAAAUUAGAUCCGUAACUUCGGGAUAAGGAUUGGCUCUGAAGAUUGAGAUAGUCGGGCUUGAUUGGGAAGCAAUAAUAUGGAUUAUGUACUCGUUCUGGGUAAAUUAGAAAGAAGUUUAUAUUUUAUAUGAAUGGAAUUUGUUCCCCGGAUAGUAGUUUACGUAACCAAUUGCGGAACUUUCUUGCUAAUAAUAUAUUAGAAAGAAGAA
rnacentral:rRNA from 1 species